rnacentral:pre_miRNA from 1 species
UUUAAAUGUAAUUGUGGGUUUAUUGUAUCCAACGUCUGACCGUCCAUCUUAUUUAAAUUUUUUUAUGAUUAGUAUUUUUGUUGUUAUUAGGUGAUAAAACAUAAAUAUUACUUUACGCGUGACUUAUUUUUUAAUUUUUUUCAUAUUUUUUUUAAAUAAGAUAAACAAGUAAACGUUAGGCAUGGGUACCACAACUAUUAUUAAA